rnacentral:tRNA from 3 species
GCUCUCGUAGCUCAAUGGAUAGAGUAGAGCUCUUCUAAGGCUUUGAUGUUGGUUCGAUUCCAACCGAGAGCACAA